rnacentral:rRNA from 1 species
GUGGGGAAUAUUGGACAAUGGGCGAAAGCCUGAUCCAGCCAUGCCGCGUGUGUGAAGAAGGUCUUCGGAUUGUAAAGCACUUUAAGUUGGGAGGAAGGGCAGUAAGUUAAUACCUUGCUGUUUUGACGUUACCGACAGAAUAAGCACCGGCUAACUUCGUGCCAGCAGCCGCGGUAAUACGAAGGGUGCAAGCGUUAAUCGGAAUUACUGGGCGUAAAGCGCGCGUAGGUGGUUUUGUAAGUUGGAGGUGAAAUCCCCGGGCUCAACCUGGGAACUGCCUCCAAAACUGCAUGACUAGAGUACGGUAGAGGGUAGUGGAAUUUCCUGUGUAGCGGUGAAAUGCGUAGAUAUAGGAAGGAACACCAGUGGCGAAGGCGACUACCUGGACUGAUACUGACACUGAGGUGCGAAAGUGUGGGGAGCAAACAGGAUUAGAAACCCGUGUAGUCC